rnacentral:rRNA from 1 species
CUAAGGCUCCGGAGGAAGCCACGGCUAACUCUGUGCCAGCAGCCGCGGUAAUACAGAGGCGGCAAGCGUUGUUCGGAAUUAUUGGGCGUAAAGAGCACGUAGGCGGCCGUGUAAGUCGGUUGUGAAAGCCUUCCGCUCAACGGGAGAACGGCAUCCGAUACUGCAUGGCUCGAGUGCGGGAGGGGAGAGUGGAACUUCUGGUGGAGCGGUGAAAUGCGUAGAUAUCAGAAGGAACACCGGCGGCGAAGGCGACUCUCUGGCCCGUAACUGACGCUGAGUGUGCGAAAGCUAGGGGAGCAAACGGGAUUAGAUACCCCGGUAGUCCUAGCCGUAAA